UACGAAGGGGCUAGCGUUGCUCGGAAUCACUGGGCGUAAAGCGCACGUAGGCGGAUUGUUAAGUCAGGGGUGAAAUCCUGGAGCUCAACUCCAGAACUGCCUUUGAUACUGGAGAUCUUGAGUCCGGGAGAGGUGAGUGGAACUGCGAGUGUAGAGGUGAAAUUCGUAGAUAUUCGCAAGAACACCAGUGGCGAAGGCGGCUCACUGGCCCGGUACUGACGC
rnacentral:rRNA from 1 species